rfam:Novosphingobium subterraneum strain DSM 12447 NJ75_contig000037, whole genome shotgun sequence.
AGCGUAUUUUGUGAUGGCGGAGCUCGACCGCCGCGAGAAAUGAUGAUGUCGUUCAUCGACGCCUAUCGCGAGGAUCUGGGUAUCGAGACGGUUUGCCGGGAACUGGCAAUCGCCC